GGGAAAGAAGGUUCUUAGUAGGGCUGCUAACUUUACUUUAAGGAGUUCAAUCUCCUUUUUCCUA
rnacentral:tRNA from 1 species